CUGCUGCAGUGGCUUUGUAAGUUAAAAUCCCUGGACUAUUUUCUUCUAUAACCAGGAAAGAUCAUUUUUGUUUUCCUGUUCCUUCCAGUUCUGGUUCUGCAGCCUUGGGACUAUAUCAUAAACACUUUCAGGAGACUCUGGGUUUUUUUUAUAAUUGUAUUCCAGUCAGGUAACUUGCUUCCUGGACUUCAAUGUACACUGGGACAAUUUCAAAGUUUGCAGAUGACACAAAACUUGGGAGAAUUGCAAUCUGUGAGAAGAGUGGAACUUCAAAAGGACAUUGUCAAAUUGGUGAGUGGCCGGACAAAUGGCAGGGCAGAUUUUGCAUAUUUUACAGCUUCCCAAGGUGAUGGGAUGUCCAGAAAUACAGCAUCUGCAACAUUGACAACACCAAAGCCCUCCUUACAAACAUCCUGGUUUUUCACUGUGACCAAAUGAUCUAUCUUAUGAUCGCAAAAUUCCUCUUCAGCUUUUUCUGCUCGUUGUUUAUGAAACUCGACAGUAUAUAGCCGUCCUGUUGGUGCAAUGGUCCGAAUGAUAGCAUGAGAAAGAGAACCACUACCUGUACCUGCAACAUAAUGAAAAAGAACGGUCCUAUUUUUAAUCUAAGAGAAAACUUCACUGCAUAACAAAAACACUUUGUAGAAUUGAAUAAAAGAAUCCUAGCAAUAAGAAGAGAAAAGACAGUGAUGAAAGGGACAACUGAUAGGUAUCCAUGCUGUAUGACUAUGUUCUGAGAAGGCCUUUUCCCCUCCCAACAAAAAAUUCAUGACAGUAUGGAUAAAAUGGCUAAUGGUUCUGCUUUUUUAUGCUAUAUUUUAAUGUGUAACUUGCCUGGGACAGUGAAGGAUAUGUGUCUCUGUGUGUAAGCUCCACCUAUAUCAAUUAUAGGAAUGAAUUGCUGGGUUUAAAUAGCCUAAAUUGGGCAUAACUAAAUCAGCACUUUCGCAAGUCACCUAGGGGUGGGUAGUAAAUUCCAAAUUAAAUGGCAUGUAAACAAACAUUUUAGAAUAUCUGCCAACCUCUACAAGCUGAACUCAAAACAUUUUUCAUUUGUUGAGUACUCUGGUCUGAAGAUUUGCUUCAGUACCUUCAGAUUGAAUUUAGUUUAUUUACAAAGAAGGUUGCAGGUUAGGAGUUGAACUCAUCGGAAGAGAAAAAGUGAACAUACUGGAUGUAGAUGAUUAGAAUUACAGUUUGACUGCAAGGGGCAAGGAUAGUUUCGGCAUCUUUUACUGCUUGUGAAACUGCAGUUUUCACAAGAUUUCCAGCAAUUUAGUUCUACUUUUAGUCCUGUACCUAUCAUUCAUUUUUCUACCCCCUCCCAUAUUUAUUCCAUCUUCUCAAUAUUUUCCUUGGACAGGAGCUUUUACCGUCCUAACUAGUUGCCAUCUCAUUCAAAUUUUAAGGUCUCUCUCCACGCCACACCAACAUUAUCCAUUGUAUUAGAUAAAUAUUCCUGAAUACCUGUUUAUUAUUGUCCCCCGCUCCAGUUUCAUCUGCUCACAGCCACCUCUCCUUAGCCACUAAUUCUUCUAAAAUACUUGGCUUAUCUUUCAAAUACCUCUAUAGCUAGUGUCUGCUGGAUAUUCUUUAUCCUUUAAAUAUCUCAGUGCAUUACUUUUAGUAUGCAAUGAAGUUUUUAAAAAAUAUGAUAAUAUUUUUCAGGCAGUGGUAAAUACCAUGACUGUAUGGGGUAAAGGAAGGCCUUUAACAACAAGUCAUACUGAAGCACAGUAAAAGUGGGCCUUUAUGGCUGGUGGUAUUAAUGAACCUUUCAGAUUUACUUUGGGAUUAUCAUCAGUGAUGUAACAGAAACCAGGAACCCUAACUCCCCAAACAGUCCUAUUUAAAAUCAAUUGCAAUUUGAAAGUGACAAGCAGGGGUUGCGGGGCGGUUGCUGCAGGUGUUUGGUUUAGGCUGUUCAAGCUGGGAGGCUGAUGAUAAAAUAGCAGCAGGCGCAGAAUACACGUUUUCCCAGUAUUGUUACAACUCUCAGAAAUUCUAGUUAAUGCUCACUUGUUGCAUCUUGUGAACCUCAAAUUAAGACCCUUUGUUCUCCCUACUGCCAAGAAUACAAUGUUGAUUCACAACCUACUAUUGAAAUGGAAAUCAGUGCAUGAAUGAAGUUCAAGACUGUUGCAGAUGUUUGAAGUUUCAGUAAAAAUAAUCCAUUCAGAAACAAAUUGGAAAUGUAUCACAGGAACUGUGUAACUAUUCUUGUAGUUAAAGUGAACAUAACACUCAGUCACAAAUCCAGAUACACACUUAAUACCACAUUUGAAUAAUUAUUCAUAACAAACCAGCUUAAAAAUGUUUAGCACUCCAGUGGAUCUGAAACACUUGUGUUGGUGCUAAAAUUACAAAAUGUGUGAUUUGUUAAAAAGUGUACAACGUUUCCGUAAGAUGCAUUUUUGUGCAAUACGGACAACAGCUGGCAUUCUGGAUUAGUGUAAAUAAGGCAAAGAGAACACACAUUUUCUCCUUGUAGAAAAAGGACUGAUCCAGUCAUAUGCUUUCAUCCAAUGUUUUGUAGUACCUAUGGCAAAAUUUAUCCAUCCACGGUGAUUCGGUGGUUAGUAUUGCUGCCUCACAGCGCCAGGGACCCAGGUUUGAUUCCUGCCUCGGGCGACCGUCUGUGCAGAGUUUGCACGUUCUCCGUGUCUGCAUGGGCUUCCUCCGGGUGGUCUGGCUUCCUUCCAGAGUCCAAAGAUCUGCAGGGUAGGUGGAUUGGCCAUGCUAAAUUGCCCAGGGGUAUUUAGGUUCAGCGGGUCAGACAAGGGAAA